rnacentral:rRNA from 1 species
GGUCCUACGGGGGGCUGCAGUGGGGAAUAUUGGACAAUGGGGGCAACCCUGAUCCAGCCAUGCCGCGUGAGUGAUGAAGGCCUUAGGGUUGUAAAGCUCUUUCGUCAGGGAAGAUAAUGACGGUACCUGAAGAAGAAGCCCCGGCUAACUUCGUGCCAGCAGCCGCGGUAAUACGAAGGGGGCUAGCGUUGUUCGGAAUUACUGGGCGUAAAGCGCACGUAGGCGGACAUUUAAGUCAGGGGUGAAAUCCCGGGGCUCAACCCUGGAACUGCCUUUGAUACUGGGUGUCUUGAGUACGAGAGAGGUGAGUGGAAUUCCGAGUGUAGAGGUGAAAUUCGUAGAUAUUCGGAAGAACACCAGUGGCGAAGGCGGCUCACUGGCUCGUAACUGACGCUGAGGUGCGAAAGCGUGGGGAGCAAACAGGAUUAGAUACCCCUGUAGUCG